rnacentral:rRNA from 1 species
UGAGCAAUCUGCCCUUCUCAUCGGAAUAAGCGUUGGAAACGACGUCUAAUGCCGAAUACGACCUCCUUUCGCAUGAUCGGAGGUGGAAAGCUCCGGCGGAGAAGGAUGAGCUCGCGGCCUAUCAGCUAGUUGGUGUGGGUAAUGGCCCACAAGGCGACGGACGGGUAGCCGACCUGAGAGGGUGACCGGCCACACGUGGGACUGAGACACGGCCCAGACCUCCGUACGGGAGCAG